rnacentral:rRNA from 1 species
AACGAACGCUGGCGGCGUGGAUUAGGCAUGCAAGUCGAGCGAGAAAGGGGUAGCAAUAUCCUGAGUAAAGCGGCGAACUGGUGAGUAACAGGUGGGCAACGUGCCCCGAAGUUGGGGAUAACUCCGAGAAAUCGGAGCUAAUACCGAAUGUGGCCGUUUGGACUUUGGUUCGAACGGUUAAAGACGUAAUUCGCUUCGGGAUCGGCCCGCCCCGGA